rnacentral:rRNA from 1 species
CGUGUAGGUGGUCUGAUAAGUCAGGUGUGAAAGCUCCUGGCUCAACCAGGGAAGUGCACUUGAAACUAUCAGACUUGAGUACGGGAGGGGGAAGUGGAAUUCCUGGUGUAGAGGUGAAAUUCGUAGAUAUCAGGAGGAAUACCGGUGGCGAAGGCGACUUCCUGGACCGAUACUGACACUGAGACGCGAAAGCGUGGGGAGCAAACAGGAUUAGAUACCCUGGUAGUCCACGCCAUAAACGAUGGGCACUAGGUGUAGCGGGUAUUGACCCCUGCUGUGCCGAAGCUAACGCAUUAAGUGCCCCGCCUGGGGAGUACGGCCGCAAGGCUAAA